CCUUACCGGGAGGCCGGGGACGUGGGAGGCCGCGGAGGUUGGGCUAGUGCCUGGUACGUGGUUGGCGGCCAGUACUUUUCGGAGGGGAUGAUACUGGAAGUGACAACCAUUGUUUCCCUUGAUCGUCGGGGAUUCAGCAAGUUCUAUAAUUCUUCAUGUGCACCAUUGUGAGAUCUGCUCACACUGCCAAAAUGUACAUCUGUUUUAUUCUGAAAGCUGCAUGGACCUCUAUGAAGACACCUUCCACAGUUUACUAGUUGAUUUCUGGACUAGUCUCACCCAG